AUUGAACGCUGGCGGCAGGCCUAACACAUGCAAGUCGAACGGUAACAGGAAGCAGCUUGCUGCUUCGCUGACGAGUGGCGGACGGGUGAGUAAUGUCUGGGAAGCUGCCUGAUGGAGGGGGAUAACUACUGGAAACGGUAGCUAAUACCGCAUAAUGUCGCAAGACCAAAGAGGGGGACCUUCGGGCCUCUUGCCAUCGGAUGUGCCCAGAUGGGAUUAGCUUGUUGGUGGGGUAACGGCUCACCAAGGCGACGAUCCCUAGCUGGUCUGAGAGGAUGACCAGCCACACUGGAACUGAGACACGGUCCAGACUCCUACGGGAGGCAGCAGUGGGGAAUAUUGCACAAUGGGCGCAAGCCUGAUGCAGCCAUGCCGCGUGUAUGAAGAAGGCCUUCGGGUUGUAAAGUACUUUCAGCGGGGAGGAAGGGAGUAAAGUUAAUACCUUUGCUCAUUGACGU
rnacentral:rRNA from 1 species